rnacentral:rRNA from 1 species
UACGUAGGGCGCAAGCGUUGUCCGGAUUGACUGGGCGUAAAGCGCACGCAGGCGGAUGCGCGCGUGGGGUGUGAAAUCUGGCCGCUUAACGGCCAGGCGCCAUCCCAUACGGCGCGUCUGGAGUGAUGCAGAGGUCGAUGGAAUUGCCGGUGUAGUGGUGAAAUGCGUAGAGAUCGGCAGGAACACCCAGGGGGAAACCAGUCGACUGGGCAUCUACUGACGCUGAGGUGCGAGAGCGUGGGGAGCGAACCGG